AAAAGGGAACUUACAAUCUCCCAGGGACAUGUGUCCUUUCAGCUUAUGUCCAAGGAUGCCCCAUUCUGGAUGGUUGAAAAAGAGAAGAGACUGCAGACACUGAAAAUGUGAGAACAAGCACCUUUCCUCCGAAAGAACUCAACUAACUUCUCUGCCUGCCCUUUUCUUGUCUUAAGUCAUC